UACAGAGGGGGCAAGCGUUGUUCGGAAUUACUGGGCGUAAAGGGCGCGUAGGCGGCCUGCUAAGUCGGACGUGAAAUCCCCGGGCUCAACCCGGGAACUGCGUCCGAUACUGGUUGGCUUGAAUCCGGGAGAGGGAUGCGGAAUUCCAGGUGUAGCGGUGAAAUGCGUAGAUAUCUGGAGGAACACCGGUGGCGAAGGCGGCAUCCUGGACCGGCAUUGACGCUGAGGUGCGAAAGCGUGGGGAGCAAACAGG
rnacentral:rRNA from 1 species